rnacentral:rRNA from 1 species
CAUACGGGAGGCGGCAGUGGGGAAUAUUGGGCAAUGGGCGCAAGCCUGACCCAGUCCAUGCCGCGUGAGUGAUGAAGGCCUUCGGGUCGUAAAGCUCUGUGGGGAAGGACGAAACCGCCUAUGGCUAACAUCCAUGGGUCUUGACGGUACUUCCUUAGCAAGCACCGGACUAACUCCGUGCCAGCAGCCGCGGUAAUACGGAGGGUGCAAACGUUGCUCGGAAUCAUUGGGCGUAAAGCGCACGUAGGCGGCUCGUUAAGUCGGAUGUGAAAUCCCUCGGUCAACCGAGGAAGUGCAUUCGAAACUGGCAGGCUUGACUAUGGAACGAGGGUCGCGGGAAUUCCCGGUGUAGAGGUCAAAUUUCGUAGAUCUCCGGGAGGAACACCAGUGGCGAAAGGCGGGAACUGGGCCACUAUUGACCGCUAGGUGCGAAAAGCGUGGGAGCAAACCGGAUAGAUACCCUGGGUAAGUCCACGCCGUAAAACGAUGGGAUGCUAAGGCGUUGGGGGGUAUU